AGUGAACGCUGGCGGUAGGCCUAACACAUGCAAGUCGAACGGCAGCACAGGAGAGCUUGCUCUCUGGGUGGCGAGUGGCGGACGGGUGAGGAAUACAUCGGAAUCUGCCCAGUCGUGGGGGAUAACGUAGGGAAACUUACGCUAAUACCGCAUACGACCUUCGGGUGAAAGAGGGGGAUCGCAAGACCUCUCGCGAUUGGAUGAGCCGAUGUCGGAUUAGCUAGUUGGCGGGGUAAUGGCCCACCAAGGCGACGAUCCGUAGCUGGUCUGAGAGGAUGAUCAGCCACACUGGAACUGAGACACGGUCCAGACUCCUACGGGAGGCAGCAGUGGGGAAUAUUGGACAAUGGGCGCAAGCCUGAUCCAGCCAUACCGCGUGGGUAAAGAAGGCCUUCGGGUUGUAAAGCCCUUUUGUUGGGAAAGAAAUCUUUCAGGCUAAUACCCUGGGAGGAUGACGGUACCCAAAGAAUAAGCACCGGCUAACUUCGUG
rnacentral:rRNA from 1 species